rnacentral:rRNA from 1 species
AUGAACGCUGGCGGCUUGCCUAAUACAUGCAAGUCGAGCGAACGGACGAGAAGCUUGCUUCUCUGAUGUUAGCGGCGGACGGGUGAGUAACACGUGGAUAACCUACCUAUAAGACUGGGAUAACUUCGGGAAACCGGAGCUAAUACCGGAUAAUAUUUUGAACCGCCUGGUUCAAAAGUGAAAGACGGUCUUGCUGUCACUUAUAGAUGGAUCCGCGCUGCAUUAGCUAGUUGGUAAGGUAACGGCUUACCAAGGCAACGAUGCAUAGCCGACCUGAGAGGGUGAUCGGCCACACUGGAACUGAGACACGGUCCAGACUCCUACGGGAGGCAGCAGUAGGGAAUCUUCCGCAAUGGGCGAAAGCCUGACGGAGCAACGCCGCGUGAGUGAUGAAGGUCUUCGGAUCGUAAAACUCUGUUAUUAGGGAAGAACAUAUGUGUAAGUAACUGUGCACAUCUUGACGGUACCUAAUCAGAAAGCCACGGCUAACUACGUG